rnacentral:rRNA from 1 species
AGGUGUUGCAUGGCUGUCGUCAGGCUCGUGUCGUGAGAUGUUCGGUUAAGUCCGCUAACGAGCGCAACCCUCGUCGUAUGUUAUAUGUGUCAUACGAGACUGCCGGUAAAAGCCGGAGGAAGGUGAGGAUGAUGUCAAGUCAGCAUGACCUUUAUAUCCAGGGCUACACACACGCUACAAUGGUCUGUACAAUGGGUAGCCAAGCCGCGAGGCGGAGCCAAUCCUGAAAGCAGGCCUCAGUUCAGAUUGCAGUCUGCAACUCGACUGCAUGAAGCCGGAGUUGCUAGUAACCGCAGGUCAGCAAUACUGCGGUGAAUACGUUCCCGGGUCUU